rnacentral:sRNA from 1 species
ACGUACUACGUGUACGCUCCGGUUCUUGCGCGCUGGCCGGACCCAAACUGGCUGCGUCAAUGACGCCUGGUUAUUCCAGUUAGUC